GACGAACGCUGGCGGCGUGCCUAAUACAUGCAAGUAGAACGCUGAAGGAGGAGCUUGCUUCUCCGGAUGAGUUGCGAACGGGUGAGUAACGCGUAGGUAACCUGCCUGGUAGCGGGGGAUAACUAUUGGAAACGAUAGCUAAUACCGCAUAACAGUAGAUGUUGCAUGACAUUUGCUUAAAAGGUGCAAUUGCAUCACUACCAGAUGGACCUGCGUUGUAUUAGCUAGUCGGUGAGGUAACGGCUCACCAAGGCGACGAUACAUAGCCGACCUGAGAGGGUGAUCGGCCACACUGGGACUGAGACACGGCCCAGACUCCUACGGGAGGCAGCAGUAGGGAAUCUUCGGCAAUGGACGGAAGUCUGACCGAGCAACGCCGCGUGAGUGAAGAAGGUUUUCGGAUCGUAAAGCUCUGUUGUAAGAGAAGAACGAGUGUGAGAGUGGAAAGUUCACACUGUGACGGUAUCUUACCAGAAAGGGACGGCUAACUACGUG
rnacentral:rRNA from 1 species